rnacentral:lncRNA from 1 species
UAACCUAGAGGAGACUCUUAAGAAGAAAUCCCAAGACCCCGGGGACCUGAAGGAACAUCUGCCGUUUUUCAUCAAAACAAGAGACCCCCCUUGAUUUUUGAUCUUCUUCGACCCCCCCUCCAACCGGACCCUAGUUCCCUUCUUCAUGAAAACAACGAAAAACCCUAAGGCCUAAGUCUAAAAAUGAGCAGCUAACCUAAAACUCUAAAACUUUUCAGCCGCAAAAACUCAAAAAAAAGGAGCCCAAAAGAUCAUCUUCUUCACCAGAUUUUUCAGCCGUUUUCCAUGAGCACACCCUAGGCUAAGCUUCCUUCUUCUUGGACAAGAAAUGAAAAUACCUAAUGCCUAAAAAGAUCCAGCCAUUUCUGAUCAAAACUUUCAGUAAUCUAGACCUAAGCUUCAGAGGCAAAGCGCGCGCGCGCGCACACACACACACACACACACAAUCUAACGCCCCAUUUCCUGUCCGUUGAGCUCGUCGGAAAAUGAGCUACACUAGCCAACGAUCUUCAGUUGCCAGCCCUCACCCUUUCCAUGGCUGCCGAUGCUGGAGGUGAUGACCGGCGACGACCAUGACUGUCACUCCUGUGCCUAACCGUUGUUCCUGUCAUUUCUUUCCCCUCUACUGUCAUUGUUUCGCCGGAGUCGCACCAUCGACGUUGAACAAACAGAAAAUCGGCGAUAGUCAUCAAAACUGCUAAAUCUGUUUCUGCCGAGUUGUAUCGAAAUUAACAUGUUAAUGUCGUCUGAGGUCGUGGUUCAAUAUUGCCGGUUCGAGGUUCGUUGUGGUCGAAUUUGAGUUUGUCGAAUUUCAGUUCGUUGGUUUUAUUACCGAUUUUCCGUCGCUUAGCAUUUUCAAGCUGUCAAACAAUCAUAUUUCAGAUUUGUUCAAGGUCUAUUUCUCCCUUUUUUCUACUAUUCUGCCUUAGUUCCAUGUUUCUGUUGUAUUGAUCUUUUAGUUAAGGUUUCAUUAUUGUUUGUGAUGCCUUAGUAGUGUUUGUGUACGUUUUUUUUUGUUCUGAUGAUAUUUGUUUGGGUGUUUCCUUCGUGAAUUUGUAUUCAGGUGGAUUUCAAUGGUUGAAAUGAGUUCUUUUGUAUCCCUG